UUUUUUUCUUUUUCUUUUUUUCCUUUCUCUUUCGCCACAAUUUCAACUAUGGUUAAACACUCAAGGGAGGGUCUCUGAU
rnacentral:ribozyme from 1 species